AAAAAAGAGAGAAAAAUGAAAAAAAAAUUAUUAAAAUAACGAUAUGUUAAUAGUAAUACGAAAAGCCAUAUUAAUGAAAAGAGUAUUGUAAGAAACAUAAUUAAUAUAAAAAUAGAACGAUUAUUAGUUCAGAGUUUCCAGUCCUCUAAUAAAAAAUGAAAAAUAGAAGGAGGAAGAAAAGAAAAAUGGAAAAAGAGGAAAGAAUGAAAGGAAAUAAAAGAUUCAGCAAACCUAAAAUGGUAAACCAAAAAGUAUAUUUAUCACAAGGACAACACUGGAAUGCCAAUAAAUUCAACUUUUUAACCAAAAGAGAAAACAAUUAAUAAAUGGAAAUAUCGUCCAUAAGGGAUAUUGUAUAAGAUAUAUGUAUGUGGUUAUAAAAUUCCUGCCAAAAUUACCGUUAUGUUGAGAAAGAGAAAAUCUACAUUUAUAGUUGGUUUUGUUCGAACUGGACGAAUUUUAAUUGUAUUCGGUUAAUGUGAGACGUUAUAUUUAAAAAAUUUUAAUUUCACGUCCAAAUGCACUGUAGCAAUUUUAUCUAGCUCGAGAACCGUCAUUAUGUAAGAAGAAUGCAGGCUUCCAGGAAAGAUCUUUAUAUUCUCAUGUUCCCCGUCCAAAUCUCAAUGCGCUAUGAACCCCCCUUGUUAUUAUAUUCUAAACUUGGAGUUAAUUAUCAGAAUUCUAUCUGUUGAGCAGCCUCAAUGAUCUUCAAUAGUCUUUAUCUAUGCGACGCAUAUGUAUAAAAUUAUAUAGGCCAAUUCGAUGCAUAUUGAGAUAGUGUUGCUGCAAGUAUUGAAUGUACAAAGAAUAUUUGUGAAAACUCCCUCGUCCUUUGAUAUCCUGAUUUUGAAAAAGAAAAACAACUAUCCAAUACCUAUCAAGAUAUAAAUUAUGCAUACGUGAUAACGUCAGAUUAAUUUAUGAAUAUUCACGAUUACAAAAACAUUAAUAUAAAAAAUGGGUCGCAACAAUCUGCGCGACCACUGAGGAGUGUAAGAAAUGGUGAUUUCGAACGACUGAAUAUCCAAGCAUUUAUUUUGUUAAAUAUAUCCCCUUCCAUUCUACGUAACAUAUAUUAUAAAUAUUAGCAAAUUGCCAUCCAAUAUAUUGUAUAUCUCUUGUUCUCUUAUCAUCGUCAUCAUCAUAAGUAUUAUAACUAUAUUAUUUUUAUUGAAUAAUUAUUGUCAAUUUUAUUAUUAUAUCACUACUAUUAUCAUUAUUAGUAAUUUUACAAAAAUUAUGCUCAUUAUUAUUAUCAUCAUGAAUGUUGUUAUUUUUAUUUAGUUAUUUUUAUUUUUAGUAUGGUACAAUUAUACUAUGACUGUACUAUUAGCUUAUUUUGUAUGAUAGUUACAACACUACAGUGUGAGUUGCAAAAUAUGUGCAAUUUUUCGACGAUGAAUAAUAACCAAUGAUGUUCAAUUAA